UACGUAGGGCGCGAGCGUUGUCCGGAAUUAUUGGGCGUAAAGAGCUCGUAGGCGGCCUGUUGCGUCCGCUGUGAAAUCCCAGGGCUCAACCCUGGGCGUGCAGUGGAUACGGGCAGGCUGGAGGCAGGCAGGGGAGAACGGAAUUCCCGGUGUAGCGGUGAAAUGCGCAGAUAGUCGGGAGGAACACCGGGUGGCGAAGGCGGCAUCCUGGACCGGCAU
rnacentral:rRNA from 1 species